rnacentral:rRNA from 1 species
UACAGAGGUGGCAAGCGUUGUCCGGAUUUACUGGGCGUAAAGGGUGCGCAGGCGGUUGGGUGUGUCAGAUUUGAAAUCCCGAGGCUUAACCUCGGAACUGCGUCUGAAACUACUCGACUAGAGUACUGGAGAGGGUAACGGAAUUCACGGUGUAGCAGUGAAAUGCGUAGAUAUCGUGAGGAACACCAGAGGCGAAGGCGGUUACCUGGACAGUUACUGACGCUCAGGCACGAAAGCAUGGGGAGCAAAAGGG